rnacentral:tRNA from 1 species
AAUGAUGUGCCUGAGAAAAGGGCUAUUUUGAUAGAAUAAUUAAUGUACAGAUGUACCAUCGUUA